UACGAAGGGGGCUAGCGUUGCUCGGAAUUACUGGGCGUAAAGGGCGCGUAGGCGGACAGUUAAGUCAGAGGUGAAAGCCCAGGGCUCAACCCUGGAAUUGCCUUUGAUACUGGCUGUCUUGAGUACGGGAGAGGUGAGUGGAACUCCGAGUGUAGAGGUGAAAUUCGUAGAUAUUCGGAAGAACACCAGUGGCGAAGGCGACUCGCUGGACAAGUAUUGACGCUGAGGUGCGAAAGCGUGGGGAGCAAACAGG
rnacentral:rRNA from 1 species